rnacentral:rRNA from 1 species
AGAGUUUGAUCAUGGCUCAGAUUGAACGCUGGCGGAAUGCUUUACACAUGCAAGUCGAACGGCAGCACGGACUUCGGUCUGGUGGCGAGUGGCGAACGGGUGAGUAAUGUAUCGGAACGUAUCCAGUAAUGGGGGAUAACUAAUCGAAAGGUUGGCUAAUACCGCAUACGCCCUACGGGGGAAAGCAGGGGAUCUUCGGACCUUGCGUUAAUGGAGCGGCCGAUAUCUGAUUAGCUAGUUGGUGAGGUAAGAGCUCACCAAGGCGACGAUCAGUAGCUGGUCUGAGAGGACGACCAGCCACACUGGAACUGAGACACGGUCCAGACUCCUACGGGAGGCAGCAGUGGGGAAUUUUGGACAAUGGGCGCAAGCCUGAUCAGCCAUCCCGCGUGAGUGAAGAAGGCCUUCGGGUUGUAAAGCUCUUUCGCAAGGGAAGAAACGAUGCAGACGAAUAAUCUGUGUUAAUGACGGUACCUUGAUAAGAAGCACCGGCUAACUACGUGCCAGCAGCCGCGGUAAUACGUAGGGUGCAAGCGUUAAUCGGAAUUACUGGGCGUAAAGCGUGCGCAGGCGGUUUUGUAAGUCAGAUGUGAAAUCCCCGAGCUCAACUUGGGAACUGCGUUUGAAACUAC